rnacentral:rRNA from 1 species
UACAGAGGUCCCAAGCGUUGUUCGGAUUCACUGGGCGUAAAGGGUGCGUAGGCGGUGAGGUAAGUCUGUUGUGAAAUCUCCGAGCUUAACUCGGAAACUGCAGUGGAUACUAUCUAACUAGAGGAAUGGAGGGGAGACUGGAAUACUUGGUGUAGCAGUGAAAUGCGUAGAUAUCAAGUGGAACACCAGUGGCGAAGGCGAGUCUCUGGACAUUUCCUGACGCUGAGGCACGAAAGCUAGGGGAGCAAACAGG